UGUGGGGACGGAGAAGGUUAGGUCUACCAGGCGUUGGUUGUCCUGGGGAAAGGAGGUAGGCGGUGAUCUUAGGCAAAUCCGGGAUCACUUACGCCGAGCACCGAGACGAGUCCUAUGAGGACGAAGUGACUGACACCACGCUUCCAGGAAAAGCCACUAAGCUUCAGCUUAAGAAAAACCGUACCGCAAACCGACACAGGUAGGCAGGGUGAGAAUCCCAAGGCGCUUGAGAGAACUCGGGUGAAGGAACUAGGCAAAAUGGCACCGUAACUUCGGGAGAAGGUGCGCCCUUUGGUGUGGUCACGUGCGUGACUGAGCAUUGAAGGGUCGCAGUAACCUGGCCGCUGCGACUGUUUAUCAAAAACACAGCACUCUGCAAACACGAAAGUGGACGUAUAGGGUGUGACGCCUGCCCGGUGCUGGAAGGUUAAUUGAUGGGGUCAGCCGCAAGGCGAAGCUCUUGAUCGAAGCCCCAGUAAACGGCGGCCGUAACAAUAACGGUCCUAAGGUAGCGAAAUUCCUUGUCGGGUAAGUUCCGACCUGCACGAAUGGCGUAACGACAGCGGCGCUGUCUCCACCCGAGACUCAGUGAAAUUGAAAUCGCUGUGAAGAUGCAGCGUUCCCGCGGCAAGACGGAAAGACCCCGUGAACCUUUACUAUAGCUUUACACUGAACGUUGAGUUCUUCUGUGUAGGAUAGGUGGGAGGCUAUGAAACCAGGACGCUAGUUCUGGUGGAGCCAUCCUUGAAAUACCACCCUGAAGUGCUUGACGUUCUAACCUAGGCCCGUAAUCCGGGUCAGGGACCGUGUAUGGUGGGUAGCUUGACUGGGGCGGUCUCCUCCCAAAGAGUAACGGAGGAGCACGAAGGUACGCUCAGCGCGGUCGGACAUCGCGCACUGUGUGCAAAGGCAUAAGCGUGCUUGACUGCGAGAUCGACGGAUCAAGCAGGUACGAAAGUAGGUCUUAGUGAUCCGGUGGUUCUGUAUGGAAGGGCCAUCGCUCAACGGAUAAAAGGUACUCCGGGGAUAACAGGCUGAUACCGCCCAAGAGUUCAUAUCGACGGCGGUGUUUGGCACCUCGAUGUCGGCUCAUCACAUCCUGGGGCUGUAGCCGGUCCCAAGGGUAUGGCUGUUCGCCAUUUAAAGUGGUACGCGAGCUGGGUUCAGAACGUCGUGAGACAGUUCGGUCCCUAUCUGUCGUGGGCGUUGGAGAUUUGAGGGGGGCUGCUCCUAGUACGAGAGGACCGGAGUGGACGUUCCGCUGGUGUUCGGGUUGUCAUGCCCAUGGCAUUGCCCGGUAGCUACGAACGGAAGUGAUAACCGCUGAAAGCAUCUAAGCGGGAAGCACGCCCCAAGAUGAGAUCUCCCGAGAGCUUGACUCUCCUAAAGGCACCAUCAAGACUAGGUGGUUGAUAGGUCAGGUGUGGAAGCGCAGCAAUGCGUUGAGCUAACUGAUACUAAUGAGCCGUGAGGCUUGACC
rnacentral:rRNA from 1 species